CUUGACGAUCAUAGAGCGUUGGAACCACCUGAUCCCUUCCCGAACUCAGAAGUGAAACGACGCAUCGCCGAUGGUAGUGUGGGGUCUCCCCAUGUGAGA
rnacentral:rRNA from 2 species